UGAGUAAUACAUCGGAACGUGUCUUCUAGUGGGGGAUAACUGCCCGAAAGGGCAGCUAAUACCGCAUGAGACCUGAGGGUGAAAGCGGGGGAUCGCAAGACCUCGCGCCGGAAGAGCGGCCGAUGUCCGAUUAGCUAGUUGGUGAGGUAAAGGCUCACCAAGGCGACGAUCGGUAGCUGGUCUGAGAGGACGACCAGCCACACUGGGACUGAGACACGGCCCAG
rnacentral:rRNA from 1 species